rnacentral:rRNA from 1 species
AGUGAACGCUGGCGGUAUGCCUAACACAUGCAAGUCGAACGGCAGCACAGUAAGAGCUUGCUCUUACGGGUGGCGAGUGGCGGACGGGUGAGGAAUACAUCGGAAUCUACUUUUUCGUGGGGGAUAACGGAGGGAAACUUACGCUAAUACCGCAUACGACCUACGGGUGAAAGCAGGGGAUCUUCGGACCUUGCGCGAUUGAAUGAGCCGAUGUCGGAUUAGCUAGUUGGCGGGGUAAAGGCCCACCAGGGCGACGAUCCGUAGCUGGUCUGAGAGGAUGAUCAGCCACACUGGAACUGAGACACGGUCCAGACUCCUACGGGAGGCAGCAGUGGGGAAUAUUGGACAAUGGGCGCAAGCCUGAUCCAGCAAUACCGCGUGGGUGAAGAAGGCCUUCGGGUUGUAAAGCCCUUUUGUUGGGAAAGAAAAGCAGCAGGUUAAUACCCCGCUGUUCUGACGGUACCCAAAGAAUAAGCACCGGCUAACUUCGUG